GUGCACCAGGCGCGAAACCUCCGCAAUACACGAAAGUGUGACGGGGUUACCCAAAGUGUCCAAAUUUGGACUGUGGUAGGUGAGUAAUGUCCCCUACUAGAAAGGAGAGGGCAAGGCUGGUGCCAGCCGCCGCGGUAAAACCAAGCUCUUCAAGGUGGUCGGGGAUAAUUAAUUGGGCUUAAAGUGUCCGUAGCCGGUUUAGUAAGUUCCUGGUAAAAUACGGGUAGCUUAACUAUCUGUAUGCUAGGAAUACUGCUAUACUAGAGGGCGGGAGAGGUCUGAGGUACUACAGGGGUAGGGGUGAAAUCCUGUAAUCCUUGUAGGACCACCAGUGGCGAAGGCGUCAGACUGGAACGCGCCUGACGGUGAGGGACGAAAGCCAGGGGAGCGAACCGGGAUUAGAUACCCCCCGUAGU
rnacentral:rRNA from 1 species